AACGCACAUUGCGCCCGCUAGUAUUCUGGCGGGCAUGCCUGUUCGAGCGUCAUUUCAACCCUCAAGCCCGGCUUGGUGUUGGGGCAUUGCGGCGUGCCGCAAGCCCUGAAAAGCAGUGGCGGGCUCGCUAUAACUCCGAGCGUAGUAAUUUAUCUCGCUAUGGAAGAGUAACGGGUCCCGGCCGUUAAACCCACACACUUUUCACAAAGGUUGACCUCGGAUCAGGUAGGAAUACCCGCUGAACUUAA
rnacentral:misc_RNA from 1 species